AUGAACGCUAGCUACAGGCUUAACACAUGCAAGUCGAGGGGCAGCAUUUCAGUUUGCUUGCAAACUGGAGAUGGCGACCGGCGCACGGGUGAGUAACACGUAUCCAACCUGCCGAUAACUCGGGGAUAGCCUUUCGAAAGAAAGAUUAAUACCCGAUGGUAUAAUCAGACCGCAUGGUCUUGUUAUUAAAGAAUUUCGGUUAUCGAUGGGGAUGCGUUCCAUUAGGCAGUUGGUGAGGUAACGGCUCACCAAACCUUCGAUGGAUAGGGGUUCUGAGAGGAAGGUCCCCCACAUUGGAACUGAGACACGGUCCAAACUCCUACGGGAGGCAGCAGUGAGGAAUAUUGGUCAAUGGGCGCAGGCCUGAACCAGCCAAGUAGCGUGAAGGAUGACUGCCCUAUGGGUUGUAAACUUCUUUUAUAUGGGAAUAAAGUUUUCCACGUGUGGAAUUUUGUAUGUACCAUAUGAAUAAGGAUCGGCUAACUCCGUGCCAGCAGCCGCGGUAAUACGGAGGAUCCGAGCGUUAUCCGGAUUUAUUGGGUUUAAAGGGAGCGUAGGUGGACAGUUAAGUCAGUUGUGAAAGUUUGCGGCUCAACCGUAAAAUUGCAGUUGAUACUGGUUGUCUUGAGUACAGUAGAGGUGGGCGGAAUUCGUGGUGUAGCGGUGAAAUGCUUAGAUAUCACGAAGAACUCCGAUUGCGAAGGCAGCUCACUGGACUGCAACUGACACUGAUGCUCGAAAGUGUGGGUAUCAAACAGGAUUAGAUACCCUGGUAGUCCACACAGUAAACGAUGAAUACUCGCUGUUUGCGAUAUACAGUAAGCGGCCAAGCGAAAGCAUUAAGUAUUCCACCUGGGGAGUACGCCGGCAACGGUGAAACUCAAAGGAAUUGACGGGGGCCCGCACAAGCAGUGGAGUAUGUGGUUUAAUUCGACGCAACGCGAAGAACCUUACCAAGUCUUGACAUCCCUUGACGAUGCUGGAAACAGUAUUUCUCUUCGGAGCAAGGAGACAGGUGGUGCAUGGUUGUCGUCAGCUCGUGCCGUGAGGUGUCGGCUUAAGUGCCAUAACGAGCGCAACCCUUAUCUUUAGUUACUAACAGGUCAUGCUGAGGACUCUAGAGAGACUGCCGUCGUAAGAUGUGAGGAAGGUGGGGAUGACGUCAAAUCAGCACGGCCCUUACGUCCGGGGCUACACACGUGUUACAAUGGGGGGUACAGAAGGCAGCUACCUGGUGACAGGAUGCUAAUCCCAAAAGCCUCUCUCAGUUCGGAUCGAAGUCUGCAACCCGACUUCGUGAAGCUGGAUUCGCUAGUAAUCGCGCAUCAGCCAUGGCGCGGUGAAUACGUUCCCGGGCCUUGUACACACCGCCCGUCAAGCCAUGAAAGCCGGGGGUACCUGAAGUACGUAACCGCAAGGAGCGUCCUAGGGUAAAACUGGUAAUUGGGGCU
rnacentral:rRNA from 1 species